GAUGAAGAACGCAGCGAAAUGCGAUAAGUAAUGUGAAUUGCAGAAUUCGGUGAAUCAUCGAAUCUUUGAACGCACAUUGCGCCCGCCAGUAUUCUGGCGGGCAUGCCUGUCUGAGCGUCAUUUCAACCCUCAUGCCCCUAGGGCGUGGUGUUGGGGAUCGGCCAAAGCCCGCGAGGGACGGCCGGCCCCUAAAUCUAGUGGCGGACCCGUCGUGGCCUCCUCUGCGAAGUAGUGAUAUUCCGCAUCGGAGAGCGACGAGCCCCUGCCGUUAAACCCCCAACUUUCCAAGGUUGACCUCAGAUCAGGUAGGAAUACCCGCUGAACUUAAGCAUAUCAAUAAGCGGAGGA
rnacentral:misc_RNA from 1 species